GCCAGUGUGGUGUAGUGGUUUGCGUGUCAGACAAUGAUGCUGGAGACCAGGGUUCGAUUCCCCAUGUGCU